GCGCGCCUAGCUCAAUCGGAUAAAGCGUCAGACUCUUAUUUCCGUUCAACUUAUCAAUCUGAAGGCUGCGAGUUCGACCCUCGAGUUGGGCU